CGGGGCGUAGCGCAGCCUGGUAGCGCACUUGCAUGGGGUGCAAGGGGUCGCAGGUUCAAAUCCUGUCGCCCCGA
rnacentral:tRNA from 1 species